AGAGUUUGAUCCUGGCUCAGAACGUACGCUGGCGGCACGCCUAACACAUGCAAGUCGAACGCAGUAGCAAUACUGAGUGGCAAACGGGUGAGUAUAAUGUGGGAAUCUGCCUUUUGGUUUGGAAUAACACGGGGAAACUUGUGCUAAUACCGAAUAAGCCCUUACGGGGAAAGUUUUAAUGCCGAAAGAUGAGCCCGCACUUGAUUAGCUAGUUGGUAAGGUAAAAGCUUACCAAGGCAAUGAUCAAUAGCUGUUCUUAGAGGAAGACCAGCCACAUUGGGACUGAGACACGGCCCAGACUCCUACGGGAGGCAGCAGUGGGGAAUCUUGCACAAUGGGGGAAACCCUGAUGCAGCGAUGCCGCGUGAGUGAAGAAGGCCUUUGGGUUGUAAAACUCUUUCGUCGGGGAAGAAAAUGACUGUACCCGAAUAAGAAGGUCCGGCUAACUUCGUGCCAGCAGCCGCGGUAAUACGAAGGGACCUAGCGUAGUUCGGAUUUACUGGGCUUAAAGAGUUCGUAGGUGGUUGAAAAAGUUGAUGGUGAAAUCCCAGAGCUUAACUCUGGAACUGCCAUCAAAACUUUUCAGCUAGAGUAUGAUAGAGGAAAGCAGAAUUUCUAGUGUAGAGGUGAAAUUCGUAGAUAUUAGAAAGAAUACCAAUUGCGAAGGCAGCUUUCUGGAUCAUUACUGACACUGAGGAACGAAAGCAUGGGUAGCGAAGAGGAUUAGAUACCCUCGUAGUCCAUGCCGUAAACGAUGUGUGUUAGACGUUGGAAAUUUAUUUUCAGUGUCGCAGGGAAACCGAUAAACACACCGCCUGGGGAGUACGACCGCAAGGUUAAAACUCAAAUGAAUUGACGGGGACCCGCACAAGUAGUGGAGCAUGUGGUUUAAUUCGAAGAUACGCGCAGAACCUUACCAACACUUGACAUGUUCGUCGCGACUCUAAGAGAUUAGAGUUUUCGGUUCGGCCGGACGAAACACAGGUGCUGCAUGGCUGUCGUCAGCUCGUGUCGUGAGAUGUUGGGUUAAGUCCCGCAACGAGCGCAACCCUCACUUUUAGUUGCCAUCAUUAAGUUGGGCACUCUGAAAGAACUGCCAGUGAUAAGCUGGAGGAAGGUGGGGAUGACGUCAAGUCCUCAUGGCCCUUACGUGUUGGGCUACACACGUGCUACAAUGGCAUCUACAACAGGAAGCAAAACGGCAACGUUAAGCAAAUCCCGAAAAGAUGCCUCAGUUCGGAUUGCACUCUGCAACUCGAGUGCAUGAAGCUGGAAUUACUAGUAAUCGUGGAUCAGCGUGCCACGGUGAAUGCGUUCCCGGGUCUUGUACACACCGCCCGUCACACCAUGGGAGUUGGUUCUACCUUAAGGCAAGGUUUUAAACCCUUGACCACGGUAUAGUCAGCGACUGGGGUGAAGUCGUAACAAGGUAACC
rnacentral:rRNA from 1 species